rnacentral:rRNA from 1 species
UCGAGGGGCGGCAUGAUUGAAGCUUGCUUCAAUUGAUGGCGACCGGCGCACGGGUGAGUAACACGUAUCCAACCUUCCGCUGACUCGGGGAUAGCCUUUCGAAAGAAAGAUUAAUACCCGAUAGCAAAGGACUUCCGCAUGGAUAUCCUUUUAAAGGAUUCCGGUCAGCGAUGGGGAUGCGUUCCAUUAGAUAGUUGGCGGGGUAACGGCCCACCAAGUCGACGAUGGAUAGGGGUUCUGAGAGGAAGGUCCCCCACAUUGGAACUGAGACACGGUCCAAACUCC